rnacentral:misc_RNA from 3 species
GACAGACGCGUAAUAUACAUUUAACUUUUCACAGCGAAUUAGGUAAUGGUGAGAGCCUAGUAAAAGCAUGUAUGUUAUAUCACUGGCUUUUUAAUAUUUAAAUAAUGUAAUGAGAGAACUCUAAGUUGAGUUAAUAAGGGUGGUACCGCGAGCAAUCGUCCCUUUUAAUUUAACUUAGAGUUUUUUAAAUUUUUA